GAUGAACGCUGGCGGCGUGCUUAACACAUGCAAGUCGAACGGAAAGGCCCAAGCUUGCUUGGGUACUCGAGUGGCGAACGGGUGAGUAACAAGUGGGUGAUCUGCCCUGCACUUCGGGAUAAGCCUGGGAAACUGGGUCUAAUACCGGAUAGGACCACAUUUUGGAUGGUGUGGUGGAAAGUUUUUCGGUGUGGGAUGAGCUCGCGGCCUAUCAGCUUGUUGGUGGGGUAAUGGCCUACCAAGGCGUCGACGGGUAGCCGGCCUGGGAGGGUGUACGGCCACAGUGGGACUGAGAUACGGCCCAGACUCCUACGGGAGGCAGCAGUGGGGAAUAUUGCAGAAUGGGCGCAAGCCUGAUGCGGCGACGCCGGGUGGGGGAUGACGGCCUUCGGGUUGUAAACGCCUUUCGCUAGGGACGAAGCGUUAUGUGACGGUACCUGGAGAAGAAGCACCGGCUAACUACGUG
rnacentral:rRNA from 1 species